AUAGUAAAGCACGCGGCACCUAAUCUUUUCCGCCUCACUUGUUUUCCGCCAGCCAUGCCUGCCGCGCCGUCUGGGGCCUUCGCGCAAGGAGAAACGAUGGAGCAGCUCCGCCUCAAGGGUAACGCCUGCUUCGCGGAUGACCCUGCUGAGGCAGCCGAGUACUACACGCAGGCGGUGCAGCUCUACGAGGAGCGGCACGGGAAGGACGCUGCGUGCACUAUGGACGAGUUCACCAAGAGCGCUGGAAACGCGCUUACGUGUCUCUUUAAGAUGGGGGAAACGGAGCAGUGUGCCGCGUUGGCAAUGCGGGUUCUUGCGUCGAACCCGAUUUUAGCGAAAGCCAACGCCUUCUACGGUCGCUGUGCUCUGGUCGACCCCUCCCUGGAUAGCGUGAGCACCGGCUUCGGCACCGCCAGUGCCGCGGCGCUCGUGCACCUCUGCCGCGCCAUCUACGAGCUCCCCGCACUGGAGCCGAGCACUCGCGAGAACAUCGACGAGGCGCUCACUCGCCUCAUCGGAGAGCGCGUAAGCGUGACGGAGGCGUUCGCGCGGUCACCGGAAGCCGGGGUGAAGCUGGUUCGCGGGCAGUGCGGUGUUGGAGUGGAGGCCAUCCGCACCUUGCCUCCUCUUGUGGAGGUGGUGAGCCUGCUCACCCCUUUCUCCGUCGGCGCCUUCGAGGAUUUUGCCGGAAGGGGCUGCUGCGUGGAGUGCAGUAAGGUUAUCGGCCUCGACAUCGCUGACGCUGCGGCAGAGGAGCCGAAUGAGGACGAAGGUGACGAGGAGAACAACAAGGAUGAUGGCAACGCCCAGGCAAAGAAAGAGAAGCACUCGACAUGCACCACAUGCAACAUGGUGGUCUACUGCUCGCCUGCGUGCGCCGAUGCACACCGUGAGCAGCACGAGAGGUUCGAGUGCGCACGGAUGACGCGGCUGUCGGAUAUGAUGGAGGGUAUUGAAGCCCGCAAGCUCGAUGUGCCGGAGCAGUUCUUUGAGCUGGCGUACCACUGCAUCACAACUCUGGCUGGGAUAAAGGCGAAGCGUGCGGGCCACGAACGCGUCCUCACCCUGACCGCGCACGUCGAUGAGGUGAUUCAGUCGCUGCACCCGAUCGGUCCCCUCAUGAGCGACUUGUUCAAAGGGGAAGAAGAGACCGCCACGCUAUACACGAUCAUUGGCGUGCUAUGCUGCAACGCACUGGAGGUGACGGACCCGAGCGGGCUCGGCGUGGCGCAGGCGCUGCACGCCGGCAACAGCAUCGCUUCAUUCUUCAACCACUCCUGCACGCCAAAUUGCGCGAUUGACACGGUGCGGCACGCCAUCAUCACCACUCGCACCAUCCACGUCGGCGAGGAGCUGAGCAUCGCCUACAUCCCGCAGCUUUACUGGCCAACCCGUCUGCGCCGCGAGCGUCUCAGCGAGGGGUACUACUUUGUGUGCCGGUGCCAGCGAUGCCAGAGCAGCAACAAGGAUCCGUUUGAGCGUGCGCUCGUCAUGGAGCUGCCUACGGCACGGAAAGACGCUACAAAGCACUUUCACCCGAUUGUGCAGACGGCCUGCGCGACGGUCCGCUCACGCAUGGUGGAUGACGUGUCGCAGAAGGACGCCGACGAGCUCAGCAAGCUGCUGAGUGACUUGUCGACGCACCUGUUCCCUUUCCAUUAUCUCUGCCAUGAGGUGCGCAACUGCCUCAGUUUUGUGUACGCGGUGCUGGGCCAGACGCGGGAGUGCCUCUGCAGCUGCCUGGACGAACUUUUGAUGUGGGAGUGCAUCCUACCCGGUGCUCUCCCAGUAAAGAGGAUGAAGAUUGAGAACGCGUUGGAAUGCGUGCAGGGCUUGGGUACGAAGGUAAGUGAUUGCUCUGCAGCACUGCUCCCUCAUCUGUCGCGCUUGGCGCUAGUGUACGACGCCGAGGGUCCCAUUUGAGGUGGGUAGGGAACCGAGCGGCUCGCAAGUAGUGGCGCUAACACUGGAGCAGGGAGACGGGGCGCAGAGCCGGGGCACAAGGGGGGAAGACACGCAGGUGACAUUGUCGGAGAUUCACUUGUAGGGAACGGGGGCAGUUUUCGUUGUCGGCAAUGGGCUGUGAGUCUCUGCGUGUGCUUGCAUGCGGUCCUCUCCCUGCGCUGCCUGUUAAUGAAAAGUGUAUGUGUCGGCUUGUGCGCUUCACAGCAACACCCCCCACGUGGUUCUGUGUGCGUGUGCGUGUGUGUGGAGCGGGUGCUUCUCGGCAAGUGUGAUCAAUCUAGGUCCUUCUGUUCCAGCCCGUUGUCUUCGUGGCGGGCUCAAAGGAGGCUGGUCGGCCCUCGGGGUAGUGCGAAGUAGCGGCGCGUGGAGGAGCGCCGUCGCUCCGUUGCAAAGCGCCUCGUGCCCGCCACCGGUGCCUUUAGCGACCUCUUCAAGGAUGCAUUCGCG
rnacentral:misc_RNA from 1 species